UCUGAAACAUGUGCUGUGUCAACUCAGGGUUAAAUGGAUUAAGGGCAGUGCAAGAUGUGCUUUGUUAAACAGAUGCUUGAAGGCAAAAAAAAAUAAAUAAACUGUUUUAACUGAAGUAUAGUUAAAUUUUUUUAAAUGCCAUAUACAUUACUACUAGCUUAUUAAAAUUAUUUAUACUUAGAUAUUUAAUCUUAUACCCCAAAAAAUUUACUACCAAAUUGUUACAGUUGAUACUAGUCUGACAUGUUUAUUACUUUACUCAAUAGGGAUAAUUAUAAGUAAACACAAUUUUAGUAUCUUUUAUUUCACUCAUUUGGAAUGCUGCUAUUACAAAUGAAAUUGACAGUUGAUGUGGCCACCCAAAAACCAUGAUAGCUCUUCAGUUAACUAUGUUGGAAGUUCUAAUAUCCUCCACAAUAUGAACACAGUCAGAUUCUAUUUCUUCAUCGAAAAGUGUUGUUGGAAGUUGUCAGAUACAUUUCAAUAUAGAACCCCCAUUCAAUGACUAGGAGAUGAGAGAGCAGCAGAGAUGGGAAAAAAAGCUUUAUAAAAGUCUUCUGAAAUCCUGCCCCCUUUCUCAUAAUGCUCAUGUUUCUCACACUGAGAGUAAUUGUGCGCUUUGGGUGGUUAGAGAGAAAUUGCUUUUAGGGGAAUAUUUUCUGGCUGAGGUGAUCAAUCUUAUAUCUAAACUGAGCUUUUUCUUAAGAUCUUUUUAAUUUUUCCUCUCAAAAUUAUCUUGCUCCGAUGGAGAUCUGUUUUUCUUUCCAAUACUUUGGGUGUCUGUUUCAGAAGCCCUAUUAGUAUCCCAUGGUGUCUGAAUGAGGUAGGCUGUCACAGUGAGAACAUUUGGAGAUAUCCCUAUCUGUACUCAUGCUGGAAAUUCAUCCGAAUUUUUUUCCACGUCACCAUGAUAAUUAAAAAUGGGCUGAAACACUGGUCACAUUCCCAUUCUUGUGAAGGUGCAAUUCUACUCACAAGGCCUGCAGGCUCUCCUGCAGCUCAGGCUUUCCUGUCUGAUGUGACACUAGAGUGCUGCUGUGGGAAAUGGGGUUCACAUAAACUGAGCUGUGCUCAAGGCUGUGCCUCAGUGGCAGAUGAUAGAUGUCAAGAGAGGACACUAGCAACCAGGAAAAAGCAAGCAAGUGCUGUAGCCCAAUUCCAUGGAGCACAGACAGCCACUGCUCUAAAAUGUAAAUAGCCAAAAGGAUAGAAUGCUUUUCAACCAUUUUUGUAGCAGAGUGAAAGCCUACCUUCAGCGAGUACCUGGCUUCAAGCUGCUAAACUACCUCCUGUUAUGAAGAUGUGAAAAGUUUGUUAUUGAAUAUAAACAAUUAGCAUAUACAGAUGGCCUCUUCUACAUGUGAAUUUGGGAUGAACUAUGUAUGACAUGGUGCUGGAAAUUCUUCUACUUGUGGACUAAUUUUGGUGACCAUCAUUCUGUCUCUGCAGUCUCUUAAGCAGACUGACUAUGAUGCAUGUCACAUAAAACAGUUUUCUUUCUGUUUUAUUGUGGAGUUUUUCUGGGGCUGGAGAAAAUUCUUUUAAUUAUUUUUUCCAAACACUGUCUAUAAUUACCAGACAUGAUAUAAACACAUAAGGUGCCAACCGGAAUUUACUCUAAAGGGGACUUUCCCUCUCAGACUUCCAGUCAGCUCACACUUGUGCAACAAAGUGCAUGCUGUCCCCUAAAUAUGCAGGCAGAACUGUUUCUGCCUAUUUGGUAUCUAUAGUCCUCUACAGUCACUUCUAGAGAGACUAGACCAAAUUUCUACCAACUUCACUGGGCAACAAUGAAUCAUUUUAUGUCAAUGACUCUUAUUAUCUUCAGACCUGAAACUGAUUCAGAGACCAUGGGGCCCACAAACCUAAUCAGACUAACGUGUUCAUUGAGUACACAUGCAGACAUGAGAAUCUCCACUUUACCCUUUUUUCUCUUGGUAAAACGUUCACAAAUGUGCAGGUAACACCUGCUGCUACUCCAGCCAUUCGGGCCCUAAAUCUGCAGCUCUACAUUUUGUAUCCAGGUCUUGAGAUUUGGGAAAUAGAAAAUGUUUAUCUAAAAAUGCAAGUCUUUUUGAUUAUCAAACUCAGACAUUGAAAUGAAAGUGCAGUUAUGUCAUUCUCCCAUUUAAAUUAUGUAUUCAUCUCUUGAAACUGUUCACUAUUGCCACAAGUAGAUAUAUAUUAAACUAAUAAUACUGCAUUGGACACUAUAUCUCAUACCCUAAACCAUAAUGAUAUGUCUAAUCAAUAACCAAUGUUACUUUAAAUAAAAAUUUCUGACAACU
ensembl:lncRNA